rnacentral:rRNA from 1 species
GACGAACGCUGGCGGCGUGCUUAACACAUGCCAGUCGAACGGAAAGGCCCUGCUUUUGUGGGGUGCUCGAGUGGCGAACGGGUGAGUAACACGUGAGUAACCUGCCCUUGACUUUGGGAUAACUUCAGGAAACUGGGGCUAAUACCGGAUAGGAGCUCCUGCUGCAUGGUGGGGGUUGGAAAGUUUCGGCGGUUGGGGAUGGACUCGCGGCUUAUCAGCUUGUUGGUGGGGUAGUGGCUUACCAAGGCUUUGACGGGUAGCCGGCCUGAGAGGGUGACCGGCCACAUUGGGACUGAGAGACGGCCCAGACUCCUACGGGAGGCAGCAGGGGGGAAUAUUGCACAAUGGGCGGAAGCCUGAUGCAGCAACGCCGCGUGCGGGAUGACGGCCUUCGGGUUGUAAACCGCUUUCGCCUGUGACGAAGCGUGAGUGACGGUAAUGGGUAAAGAAGCACCGGCUAACUACGUG